rnacentral:tRNA from 1 species
GCGGGUAUAGCUUUAAUGGUAGAGCACCUGGUUGCCAUCCAGGAGGUUGCGAGUUCGAGUCUCGCUACUCGCUCCA